UACGGGGGGGCAAGCGUUGUUCGGAAUUACUGGGCGUAAAGGGCUCGUAGGCGGCCAACUAAGUCAGACGUGAAAUCCCUCGGCUUAACCGGGGAACUGCGUCUGAUACUGGAUGGCUUGAGAUUGGGAGAGGGAUGCGGAAUUCCAGGUGUAGCGGUGAAAUGCGUAGAGAUGUGGAGGAACACCAGUGGCGAAGGCGACUUUCUGGGCUGUAACUGACGCUGAGGCGCGAAAGCGUGGGGAGCAAACAGG
rnacentral:rRNA from 1 species